rnacentral:misc_RNA from 1 species
GUAUAUAUCCCACCCUUGAUUUUCUUAAAGAGGUUGGGAAUGUUUUCAUCAUCAAAAGGCAGGGUACCACAAAGAAGAGCAUACAAAAUAACCCCACAGCUCCAUACAUCCACUUCAGGCCCAGCAUACAAUUUCCCAGAGAUGACCUCUGGGGCAGCAUAAUUUGGGCUUCCACAACUUGUCUUUAGAAAAUGACCAUCUCGCAUUAUAUUGCUCAAUCCAAAAUCUGCUAUCUUCACAUUGCAUUUAGAAUCCAAAAGCAAAUUCUCAGGCUUAAGAUCUCUAUGAACAACCAUAUUCCUGUGGCAGUAUUCCACACCAGAAAUUAUCUGCUGGAAGAAAUUACGUGCCUCAUCUUCCUGUAGUCUACCCUUCUCCACAAUAUAAUCAAAGAGCUCUCCAGACUUCACAUACUCCAUUACAACAUGUAUAUCAGUUGGUGUUUCUAUAACCUCAUAUAAUCUUAUAAUGUGAGGGUGCAUAAACAAUCUCAGGAUUUUGAUUUCUCUUCUUACUUUUUCUUCCAUCUCCAUGUUCUUUAUCUUGCGACGGUUAAGUAUCUUGAUGGCAACUUUAUGGCCAGUCAGUGCAUGCUCUGCAAUUUUCACCUUACCAAAGGAACCAAUUCCAAGAGUUUUACCAAGUUUGUAAUUUGGUAAAAACACAUCAACACUACUGCUA